UGAUAAGAUGAAUAGCCAAGACACUUUUGAAUCAGAAAAGCAGGAAUGGGGUCUGAUUAUUAAUAUGUAGGAAUUAAGAUAUUGUGAUGUUGGCAUAGGAAGAGACAGCAUGAUCAAUGGACUUUUAGAGAGCUCAGAAAGAGACCUACACAUACAUAUUACUUUGAUAUGUGACAGAGAUAAUGUUUUUCAAUGUGGAAAGGAGAUGAUGCAAUGAAUGGGGGGAACC
rnacentral:lncRNA from 1 species